AGUGAACGCUGGCGGUAGGCCUAACACAUGCAAGUCGAACGGCAGCACAGUGAGAGCUUGCUCUUACGGGUGGCGAGUGGCGGACGGGUGAGGAAUACAUCGGAAUCUACUUUUUCGUGGGGGAUAACGUAGGGAAACUUACGCUAAUACCGCAUACGACCUACGGGUGAAAGCAGGGGAUCUUCGGACCUUGCGCGAUUGAAUGAGCCGAUGUCGGAUUAGCUAGUUGGCGGGGUAAAGGCCCACCAAGGCGACGAUCCGUAGCUGGUCUGAGAGGAUGAUCAGCCACACUGGAACUGAGACACGGUCCAGACUCCUACGGGAGGCAGCAGUGGGGAAUAUUGGACAAUGGGCGCAAGCCUGAUCCAGCCAUACCGCGUGGGUGAAGAAGGCCUUCGGGUUGUAAAGCCCUUUUGUUGGGAAAGAAAAGCAGCAGGUUAAUACCCCGCUGUUCUGACGGUACCCAAAGAAUAAGCACCGGCCAACUUCGUG
rnacentral:rRNA from 1 species